rnacentral:lncRNA from 1 species
GCAGGGCGUGGGGCUUGGUGCGGAGCCUGGGCGCAGCGAGUGCCGCUGGGGAUGGCGGAGACGGAGCUGGGCUUGUGUGGUCGGGAGGGUCAGGAGAGAAGUUGGGAAAUGGGAAGUUUUUUCCUACUGCAUCAAGUUAUGACAGCUAAAUCCACGUUUAAUUAAGUUAGAAAAACAGGUGAGUGCUUUGUGGUUUAGCAGUCCCGGAUGAACGCUACCGAAAUUCCCUCCUCGUGCUGAUUUACUUAUCUGAGAACCUGAUCGCUGAGCAUUAUGUAUUCAGAAAGAGGUUUUGUUGUUUGGCACAUACUGUAAUUAAAUUUGGGCCAAUUAAGGACUGCAGAGUGUGGCCUGUAAUUAGGAUAUGAGGCACACAGAGUUGGAAAGUUGAUGGCAAAGCAUUACAGCUAUGCAGUGGAUGCUUAAACAUUUUUAAAUGAUACAGGACUGGUACGAGACUGCUGGGAUGAGUUGCUGUAAAGUCGCGUGCUAAAACCCUUCCUGGAGGUGCUGAAAUAACCAUGCCGCAGAGGUGACAUCUCGCGCAGGGCUAGGUAGCCCUGUACAAGCUGGUCCUGCAUAAGCAUCUGGCAGGGCUAGUGUUAAAGGUUAGAAAUUCCUUGACAAAAAGCUUCAGACCUGUCCCGGCUGAUGAGAAAGCUUAGGCUGAGAUUUGGAAGAUAACCCUGGCCUCAAUGGUUGCCGUGGGUAGAGUGCCUGAGUCCCAGUGCACCUGCUGGUAGACCUGUCUCAAAGCCCUGGCAUUUUCUGUAAAGGAGUGUGAAGAAUGACUGAAGCGUUAAAUAAGGACAUCAAUUACACAGUCCAAAACAUGACAUCGUCACAGAGGCUUAACCUUGGACGUCAUUUUACUAUAUCGGGCAGCAUGUGGUCAGCACGAUUGUUUUGGAAGGCAAAACACAGGCUGCCAGGAGAGGACAGACACACCAAGCCUGGCUCUGCACAGGCAGC